rnacentral:rRNA from 1 species
UUUUCCCCCGGAGGCAGCGGUGCGGAAUCUUCCCCAAUGGGGAAACCCUGAUCCAGCCAAGCCGCGGACGAAGAAGGCUUGGGGUGGUAAAGCGCUUUAUCUGGGAGGAAAGAAACGGGCUAUACCCAGAAAGACGGUACCUCAGAGAAGCACAGCUACUCG